AUUGAACGCUGGCGGCAGGCCUAACACAUGCAAGUCGAGCGGGGUUUUCGGACCUAGCGGCGGACGGGUGAGUAAUGCGUAGGAAGCUGCCCGAUAGAGGGGGAUACCAGUUGGAAACGACUGUUAAUACCGCAUAAUGUCUACGGACCAAAGUGUGGGACCUUCGGGCCACAUGCUAUCGGAUGCGCCUACGUGGGAUUAGCUAGUUGGUGAGGUAAUGGCUCACCAAGGCGACGAUCUCUAGCUGGUUUGAGAGGAUGAUCAGCCACACUGGAACUGAGACACGGUCCAGACUCCUACGGGAGGCAGCAGUGGGGAAUAUUGGACAAUGGGCGCAAGCCUGAUCCAGCCAUGCCGCGUGUGUGAAGAAGGCCUUCGGGUUGUAAAGCACUUUCAGCGAGGAGGAAGGGGUGUGUGUUAAUAGCUGCAACCUUUGACGUUACUCGCAGAAGAAGCACCGGCUAACUCUGUGCCAGCAGCCGCAGUAAAAC
rnacentral:rRNA from 1 species